rnacentral:lncRNA from 1 species
GCCCUGGAAGAAGGAAUAGAGGAGAUGUAAAUAUCCCUUCUUUCUUGGGGGAAGGAAAUAGAUGAACUGUAUGCUAAGUUAGAGCCUCUCUUUAUCUAUAAAUGAUCUGUUGGUUAAACAGGAUACCUCCCUUCUGAACAUCUCAGCACCCCAUCAAGAGAACUUCAGGUCUCUGCCAUUUAGACGUGUCAUUUGUAAGUAAAAUAAAUCAGGGAAGUAAUAGGAGGAAAGCUAAGAAUGAAAGGAAUUCAUCACCACUGCAAAUUUGUCCCUGAAGCAAGAGUUGUCAAGAGAGAUGUGAAAUGUGACUUUUAUGCAAUCACCUCUUUCUGGGUCCUGAUACUUCCCUUGAUCGGCACGGCAGCCAUACCCUGAAUAUCUCCUGUCCAAAGAUGGCCACAGAUACCCCUAGUGGGACUUCUGGUUGUCUCAAUUCACUUUUCACAGAGGUCUUUUCCUGAUCCAGGAGAUAUUCAACUGAGUCUGGCACCGUUUAAGGUCUGAUAGGAGAUAUUUACCACCUAUUACUCUUUCUGAAGGCUGCUACCAGAAGGCUUCAUCUUCAUAACAAGAACCUUGGCCUCCACAACCCUCCUUAUCUUAACCCUAAGCAUUUCUGUCUUAACUCCUUAGAAAGAAACUUAACUGUUUCAACCAACUGCCAAUCAGAACACCUUUGAAUUCAACUAUCAGCUGUAAGCCCAACACCCUCCUUGAAGUUGUCCUACCUUUCUGGACCAAAUGAACAUAUACGUUACAUACACUGAUUGAUGUCUGCCUAUAAAUUCUGUCCCCCUAAACUGUGUAAAAUCAAGCUGUAACCCAACCACUGUGUUUGGAUACAUGUUCUCAGGACCUCCUGAGGCUAUGUCAUGGG